rnacentral:rRNA from 1 species
CCCCUAGAUGUUCUGGGCCGCACGUGCGCUACACUGAACAGUUCAACAAGUCUUAACCUUGGCCGAUAGGUCUGGGUAAUCUUUGAACGCUGUUCGUGAUUGGGAUAGACCUUUGCAAUUAUGGGUCUUCAACGAGGAAUUCCUAGUAAACGCAAGUCAUCAGCUUGCAUUGAUUACGUCCCUGCCCUUUGUACACACCGCCCGUCGCACCUACCGAUUGAAUGGUCCGGUGAAAUCUCGGGACGGCGGCUUGGUCGCUUGCGUCCGACUGCUGAAACUUGAUUAAACCAUAUCAUUUAGAGGAAGGUGAAGUCGUANCA